rnacentral:rRNA from 1 species
UACGUAGGGUGCGAGCGUUGUCCGGAUUUAUUGGGCGUAAAGAGCUCGUAGGCGGCCUGUUAAGUCGAACGUGAAAUCCCCGGGCUCAACCCGGGAACUGCGUCCGAUACUGGCAGGCUUGAAUCCGGGAGAGGGAUGCGGAAUUCCAGGUGUAGCGGUGAAAUGCGUAGAUAUUGGGAGGAACACCAGUGGCGAAGGCGGCUCACUGGACCGGUACUGACGCUGAGGCGCGAAAGCGUGGGGAGCAAACGGG